GACGAACGCUGGCGGCGUGCCUAAUACAUGCAAGUAGAACGCACAGUUUAUACCGUAGCUUGCUACACCAUAAACUGUGAGUUGCGAACGGGUGAGUAACGCGUAGGUAACCUGCCUGGUAGCGGGGGAUAAUUAUUGGAAACGAUAGCUAAUACCGCAUAAUAUUGAUUAUUGCAUGAUAAUUGAUUGAAAGAUGCUAUUGCAUCACUACCAGAUGGACCUGCGUUGUAUUAGCUAGUAGGUGAGGUAACGGCUCACCUAGGCGACGAUACAUAGCCGACCUGAGAGGGUGAUCGGCCACACUGGGACUGAGACACGGCCCAGACUCCUACGGGAGGCAGCAGUAGGGAAUCUUCGGCAAUGGACGAAAGUCUGACCGAGCAACGCCGCGUGAGUGAAGAAGGUUUUCGGAUCGUAAAGCUCUGUUGUAAGAGAAGAACGGGUGUGAGAGUGGAAAGUUCACACUGUGACGGUAUCUUACCAGAAAGGGACGGCUAACUACGUG
rnacentral:rRNA from 1 species